AAAUAUAAGUAUUAAAAAUAUAGUAAAUGUAUUAGUAAAAGGAGAUUGUUUAUAGAGAUAUCUAUAAGCCAAAACUAUAAAAAAUAUCUCUCAUAUAGAGCUAACUAAGUAGGCAUCAUCUUUUUACGUUUAUUUUCUAUUUUAGACUAAUAUUUAAUAGCUUAUUGUAUUCUUCCCAGAUCUUUAAUAUUACUAUCAAUUUAAAUCCACUUUCCCCAGUGCAUUUUCGUUUGGAUGUAGGGCAGACGUUGGUUCCAGGACGCAUAAAUAACUCAAUUUUAAAUGCAUUUACAAGCAGCCGCAGGCUCGGCCAAGGACAUGAAUUCACAGACAUCCCCCUGCCGGGUAGGAUAACCAGAUGUUGCUGACUGUUGCAAGCAGGCCCAGGACUUACUCACUCACUCACCCAGGACCCGGAACUCAUUCGCAAAUGCGCCUAAGACAAACACUUUUGCCUUUAGCCGGGGCAAAAAGUGUUUAACAAUCAUAAAUUAAUUGCCAACAGACAAGCUGCCACAAGGCAGCACCCAGCCACGCCCACAACGCCCUCCACACUUACUUGCACUUGCCGCAAAGGCAACAUCCUGGCACUUGCAUGUGAACCUCAGUUUGCAAUAACUUUUCUUGUGGUCCAAUAACUCAGACAGCUCGCCAAAGCAUUCCCGGCAAUUGCCGCAGAUUAAUGUGUCCGGAUUGCCUGAAAAAAGGGUAAAGAAAUACGAUUCAUAAAAACUUUGAAAAUUGAGUUAAAAAGGAUUAAUUUUAUUAUUAAAAUAAGUGUUCGACUUAACAUUUGCAUAAUAAUAUCUUAAACUAUGAUUUAUUUAAAAUAUCCAAUAAAAAAAUAUAUUAAUAGUA